CAUGGAGCCUGCGCCAACUUCGAUGCGGACAAACGAAAACGCCCCUCGCCCGCCCGGCGCAGCGGUCCCACAGGGACGCGGAGGACUCUGGCUCAGCGCAGCCGGCUGCUGAGUCCCAUCGUUCCCCUCCGCACAGC